GACCUGAUGGUGUAGUGGUAACAUGUCUGCUGACUUUGGAAUGUAGAAAACGGUACCGUAAGCAGGAGGCCCCGGUUCGAACCCGGGUCAGGUCA